UACGUAGGGUGCAAGCGUUAAUCGGAAUUACUGGGCGUAAAGCGUGCGCAGGCGGUGAUGUAAGACAGUUGUGAAAUCCCCGGGCUCAACCUGGGAACUGCAUUUGUGACUGCAAGGCUAGAGUACGGUAGAGGGGGAUGGAAUUCCGCGUGUAGCAGUGAAAUGCGUAGAUAUGCGGAGGAACACCGAUGGCGAAGGCGAUCCCCUGGACCUGUACUGACGCUCAUGCACGAAAGCGUGGGGAGCAAACAGG
rnacentral:rRNA from 1 species